rnacentral:rRNA from 1 species
CCUACGGGAGGCAGCAGUAGGGAAUCUUCCACAAUGGACGAAAGUCUGAUGGAGCAACGCCGCGUGAGUGAUGAAGGUUUUCGGAUCGUAAAACUCUGUUGUAAGGGAAGAACAAGUACGAGAGGGAAUGCUCGUACCUUGACGGUACCUUGCGAGAAAGCCACGGCUAACUACGUGCCAGCAGCCGCGGUAAUACGUAGGUGGCAAGCGUUGUCCGGAAUUAUUGGGCGUAAAGCGCGCGCAGGCGGCCUUUUAAGUCUGAUGUGAAAGCCCCCGGCUCAACCGGGGAGGGUCAUUGGAAACUGGAAGGCUUGAGUACAGAAGAGAAGAGUGGAAUUCCAUGUGUAGCGGUGAAAUGCGUAGAGAUGUGGAGGAACACCAGUGGCGAAGGCGACUCUUGGUCUGUAACUGACGCUGAGGCGCGAAAGCGUGGGGAGCAAACAGGAUUAGAUACCCUGGUAGUCCACGCCGUAAACGAUGAGUGCUAGGUGUUGGGGGGUUUCCGCCCCUCAGUGCUGAAGCUAACGCAUUAAGCACUCCGCCUGGGGAGUACGGCCGCAAGGCUUGAAACUCAAAGGAAUUGACGGCUUGGNGAGNGCGAGGACGACGACGAGGGAGGAGG